UAUUCUCACCUCAUGACCUAUACCGCCUUAUCAUGAGAUCAUCCAAGGAGAAUAUUCUUUUACUUAUAAUGGUGCAUCAUGAUAAAACCAUACUCAUCCUAACCCACCAUCCAAUUCUCCUCUUGAGACCACUUGCCAAGUGGCAUUUCUUCCAUUUUACUAUUGCUCUUCUCUUGCCAUAUAUCUAUAUCCAAACAUGCUCUCUCUAUCAUAUCUAAUCCU
rnacentral:lncRNA from 1 species